UACAGAGGGUGCAAGCGUUAAUCGGAAUUACUGGGCGUAAAGCGUGCGUAGACGGUUGCGUAAGUCAGAUGUGAAAGCCCCGGGCUCAACCUGGGAAUUGCAUUUGAGACUGCGUAGCUAGGGUGCGGAAGAGGGAAGCGGAAUUUCCGGUGUGAGCGGUGAAAUGCGUAGAUAUCGGAAGGAACACCUGUGGCGAAAGCGGCUCACUGGACCAUUACUGACGCUGAGGCACGAAAGCUAGGGGAGCAA
rnacentral:rRNA from 1 species